rnacentral:rRNA from 1 species
UACGGAGGGAGCUAGCGUUGUUCGGAAUUACUGGGCGUAAAGCGCACGUAGGCGGCUUUGUAAGUUAGAGGUGAAAGCCCGGGGCUCAACUCCGGAACUGCCUUUAAGACUGCAUCGCUUGAAUCCAGGAGAGGUGAGUGGAAUUCCGAGUGUAGAGGUGAAAUUCGUAGAUAUUCGCAAGAACACCAGUGGCGAAGGCGGCUCACUGGCUCGGUACUGACGCUGAGGUGCGAAAGCGUGGGGAGCAAACAGG